CUCCGCCGCAGAAAAGAGUCCGCCGCCUUCCCGGCCCCAGGCUCGGCCCCGGCCCGCGCUCCCGCCCCCUGGAGAGAAAAAGGAGUGCCUCGCGCCCUACGCCCCGAGGCGCGAUAAUAAACUGCAUUUUAUGAAUGUGGUCUGAAAAAGGUGAUUCGUGGGGGAAAGGACCCACAUGCUGUAUCGUGGUUUUCUGGAUUGUUUCCUCAAGCCUUGUACCCGCUGAGCUCCUUAACAUUCAUUCCUAGUGGGAGAUACUUGCUGCAACUGCCUUGGGCUGCACUGCAAGACUGCAUCUGUGUAAUGCCCUAUCCUAUACGAAAACAUCCAGAAAUCAUCGUACAUAUGCUGAAGGAGAAAAAAAGACUAGACAUCCUCGGAAUAAUACGAUGUAAAAAUUGCCUUUUUUUUUUUUAAACACCUUAAUUCAAAUAAAAAAGAGUUGUCCGAUUGCAUUUUAAUUACCAGAGAAACUUAUUUAUUGAAAUGGCUAUCCUUCCAAUAUUGAAAAUAUUUGCAUUUUUAAAGACAGUAAUUCCAUUCUAACUAUUAUAGGUAAAGUAGCUUCUUCUAGGUGAUUAGGUUUGAAAAGACAGACAUUUAAUAUGCCUUUAUGCAGUUCUGUUUAUUUCUAUGAUUGAUGCUUUCUAGUGUAUCUUUUCUUUUUAAAAAGUAUUAUAUUCUUCAAAUAAGUGUAAUAUUUUAUAUUACGAUGUUCUUCAAAUAAACAGAUUUCAAGAACUAAGGAUUAUAGUUAGAAUCUUGUGGUUUUGAAAUGUUUGUAUUAGUCUGAUUCUUCCUAAUAGAUGUUGUAUCCUUGCGAAGGAAAAUGAACCAAAUUAUGACAUGAAAUAUAAAAUUACCCUGAGUAAAGUUUUCCACAUAUAUCUUGUGACUGUUAUGUAAACAUUGAAAGCUAGUAUGAUUAUCUCAUGUAUGUUUUCCAUUUAGAAGCUACAAAAGCUUUCCCUAAGUAUGCUACUAUACUUAGCUCCUAAUUUUUUUAAGGAAAAUAGCCCUUCGAAGUUUUCUGAAUGUGAUGUUUCUGUCAUUUUGACUAACCUUUGACAAUAUUUAUAGUUUAUUUUUCAAAGACCUAAUUUCAAGAUGGCUGCCUUUGAACUAAUUUAUAACUAUCAGUCUGUUUUAAGAAAAUAUAUAUUAACUGCUAAAAAUUAAAACUUCUCUUAAGCCAAAUAAACUAUUUGUUUUUAA